GACGAACGCUGGCGGCGUGCUUAACACAUGCAAGUCGAACGGAAAGGCCCUGCUUUUGUGGGGUGCUCGAGUGGCGAACGGGUGAGUAACACGUGAGUAACCUGCCCUUGACUUUGGGAUAACUUCAGGAAACUGGGGCUAAUACCGGAUAGGAGCUCCUGCUGCAUGGUGGGGGUUGGAAAGUUUCGGCGGUUGGGGAUGGACUCGCGGCUUAUCAGCUUGUUGGUGGGGUAGUGGCUUACCAAGGCUUUGACGGGUAGCCGGCCUGAGAGGGUGACCGGCCACAUUGGGACUGAGAUACGGCCCAGACUCCUACGGGAGGCAGCAGUGGGGAAUAUUGCACAAUGGGCGGAAGCCUGAUGCAGCAACGCCGCGUGCGGGAUGACGGCCUUCGGGUUGUAACCCGCUUUCGCCUGUGACGAAGCGUGAGUGACGGUAAUGGGUAAAGAAGCACCGGCUAACUACGUGCCAGCAGCCGCGGUGAUACGUAGGGUGCGAGCGUUGUCCGGAUUUAUUGGGCGUAAAGGGCUCGUAGGUGGUUGAUCGCGUCGGAAGUGUAAUCUUGGGGCUUAACCCUGAGCGUGCUUUCGAUACGGGUUGACUUGAGGAAGGUAGGGGAGAAUGGAAUUCCUGGUGGAGCGGUGGAAUGCGCAGAUAUCAGGAGGAACACCAGUGGCGAAGGCGGUUCUCUGGGCCUUUCCUGACGCUGAGGAGCGAAAGCGUGGGGAGCGAACAGGCUUAGAUACCCUGGUAGUCCACGCUGUAAACGGUGGGUACUAGGUGUGGGGUCCAUUCCACGGGUUCCGUGCCGUAGCUAACGCUUUAAGUACCCCGCCUGGGGAGUACGGCCGCAAGGCUAAAACUCAAAGGAAUUGACGGGGCCCCGCACAAGCGGCGGAGCAUGCGGAUUAAUUCGAUGCAACGCGUAGAACCUUACCUGGGUUUGACAUGGAUCGGGAGCGCUCAGAGAUGGGUGUGCCUCUUUUGGGGUCGGUUCACAGGUGGUGCAUGGCUGUCGUCAGCUCGUGUCGUGAGAUGUUGGGUUAAGUCCCGCAACGAGCGCAACCCUUGUUCACUGCUGCCAGCACGUUAUGGUGGGGACUCAGUGGAGACCGCCGGGGUCAACUCGGAGGAAGGUGGGGAUGACGUCAAGUCAUCAUGCCCCUUAUGUCCAGGGCUUCACGCAUGCUACAAUGGCUGGUACAGAGAGUGGCGAGCCUGUGAGGGUGAGCGAAUCUCGGAAAGCCGGUCUCAGUUCGGAUUGGGGUCUGCAACUCGACCUCAUGAAGUCGGAGUCGCUAGUAAUCGCAGAUCAGCAACGCUGCGGUGAAUACGUUCCCGGGGCU
rnacentral:rRNA from 1 species